AUUGAACGCUGGCGGCAGGCCUAACACAUGCAAGUCGAACGAGUGGCGGACGGGUGAGUAAUGUCUGGGAAACUGCCCGAUGGAGGGGGAUAACUACUGGAAACGGUAGCUAAUACCGCAUACCAUCGGAUGUGCCCAGAUGGGAUUAGCUAGUAGGUGGUGUAACGGCUCACCUAGGCGACGAUCCCUAGCUGGUCUGAGAGGAUGACCAGCAAGUCUGGAAGUGAGACCAGGUCGAGACUCCAACGGGAGGCAGCAGUGGGGAAUAGUGCACAAUGGGCGCAAGCCUGAUGCAGCCAGGCCGGGUGUAUGAAGAAGGCAUUGGGGGUGUAAAGUACUUUCAGCGAGGAGGCGGUACUCGCAGAAGAAGCACCGGCUAACUCCGUGCCAGAAGCCGCGGUAAUUC
rnacentral:rRNA from 1 species